rnacentral:rRNA from 1 species
UACGAAGGGGGCUAGCGUUGCUCGGAAUUACUGGGCGUAAAGGGCGCGUAGGCGGCCUGUUAAGUCGAACGUGAAAUCCCCGGGCUCAACCCUUGGAAGCCGGCCGAUACUGUCGGACUAGAGUCCGGAAGAGGCGAGUGGAAUUCCCGGUGUAGCGGUGAAAUGCGCAGAUAUCGGGAGGAACACCAAUGGCGAAGGCAGCUCGCUGGGACGGUACUGACGCUGAGGCGCGAAAGCGUGGGGAGCAAACAGG